AGUAAUCACAGAGCAGGUGCGUUGUUUACCGGAAGAGGCGCGCAGGUUUUGCGCGUCACGUUCUCACGUGUAGCAGCAUCCAGUUGAGCCAUUUGUUUGUUUGUUUGCAAGUUACUACUUGAUAUAUAAGUGCGUGUGAAUCGCCAUCGACUCUGUGGAUGAACCUGACUGUGUACAAAUAAACACACUUGAGUUUGGCUGUAAGGACGUUUGGGAAUGUGAAUUAUUCAACCGACAUGCUGCACAAAAGCGACGCCUCAAUAAGGUGUUUGAGGAAAAAGUGACGGAGAGAUCGAUAAAGGAGGAGAGAGAAAAGUCUCCCAUUGGGCCAUUUUUUUCAUGCUGCAUUGUGUGGGAUUGACACAAGACUAAGGCGAGCCAAAUGCAGCCCUGUGUGACUAUAUUUACCACUGCAGAACCUGCCAGUGUUAGUGUGUGUAGGAUGACGGCAGGCAUAGCACUUCAAUAGGAAAAUAUUGUCAAGAUGGCUCGCUGCAACAGCCAAGGAACAGACUGAAGACUACUGUUGCAAUCUCAGUCGGCUUUGCUGAUAGACGGUCUGGUCGCAGCCAAGGAGGAGUUCACAUGAGCCUGACAAAGCAGCAGGCCCGGCUGACUGGAGGCUGAAUGCACCCGGACACAGUCCUCCUACACACAAAGAAAACAGUAAUAAUGCACACAGUAGCUUACAUUAGCAAUUAGCAAAAACACUGGUUCAUACAAUAGCUAUGAGUAGAGUAGUAUAGAAUAAUUUAGUUUUAAUUCGAUAGAAAAUUAACAUAGAAUGUAACUAAAGAUGCAGUAUUGAACAAAGCUACAGAAACAAAAUCGGAAUACAACAGCAUUCAGGUGUUUUCUUGUCCAAUGUUGUC